AGUCGAGCGAGAUCUUCGGAUCUAGCGGCGGACGGGUGAGUAACGCGUGCUAUUAUGCCCUUCUCUACGGAAUAGCCUCGGGAAACUGAGAGUAAUACCGUAUACGCCCUUCGGGGGAAAGAUUUAUCGGAGAAGGAUUAGCCCGCGUUGGAUUAGGUAGUUGGUGGGGUAAUGGCCUACCAAGCCGACGAUCCAUAGCUGGUUUGAGAGGAUGAUCAGCCACACUGGGACUGAGACACGGCCCAGACUCCUACGGGAGGCAGCAGUGGGGAAUCUUAGACAAUGGGGGCAACCCUGAUCUAGCCAUGCCGCGUGAGUGACGAAGGCCCUAGGGUCGUAAAGCUCUUUCGCCAGGGAUGAUAAUGACAGUACCUGGUAAAGAAACCCCGGCUAACUCCGUGCCAGCAGCCGCGGUAAUACGGAGGGGGUUAGCGUUGUUCGGAAUUACUGGGCGUAAAGCGCACGUAGGCGGAUUUUUAAGUUAGAGGUGAAAUCCCAGGGCUCAACCCUGGAACUGCCUUUAAUACUGGAAGUCUUGAGUUCCAGAGAGGUGAGUGGAAUUCCGAGUGUAUAGGUGAAAUUCGUAGAUAUUCGGAGGAACACCAGUGGCGAAGGCGGCUCACUGGCUCGAUACUGACGCUGAGGUGCGAAAGCGUGGGGAGCAAACCGGAUUAGAUACCCUGGUAGUCCCCCCCGUAAACGAUGAAUGCCCGUCCCCCCGUUUGCUUGCCACUUGGGGACCCCCCUAACGGAUUAAACAUUCCCCCCUGGGGAAUACGGUCCCCAGAAUUAAACCUCAACGAAU
rnacentral:rRNA from 1 species